rnacentral:rRNA from 1 species
UACGGAGGAUGCAAGCGUUAUCCGGAUUUAUUGGGUUUAAAGGGUGCGUAGGCGGAUAUGUAAGUCAGCGGUGAAACUCACAGGCUCAACCUGUGCCGUGCCGUUGAAACUGUGUAUCUGGAAUGCGGAUGCUGUGGGAGGAAUGUGUAGUGUAGCGGUGAAAUGCAUAGAUAUUACACAGAACACCGAUUGCGAAGGCAGUCUUCCAAGCCGUUAUUGACGCUCAACUGCGAAGGUGUGGGUAUCAAACA